UACGAAGGGGGCCAGCGUUGCUCGGAAUCACUGGGCGUAAAGCGCACGUAGGCGGCUUUCUAAGUCAGGGGUGAAAUCCUGGAGCUCAACUCCAGAACUGCCUUUGAUACUGGGAAGCUUGAGUCCGGAAGAGGUGAGUGGAACUCCGAGUGUAGAGGUGAAAUUCGUAGAUAUUCGGAAGAACACCAGUGGCGAAGGCGGCUCUCUGGGACGGUACUGACGCUGAGACGCGAAAGCGUGGGGAGCGAACAGG
rnacentral:rRNA from 1 species